CACGAAGGCAGCUAGCGUUGAUAGGAGUUACUGGGCGUAAAGCGCACGUAGCCGGCCUGAUAAGUCAGGGGUGAAAUCCCGAGGGUCAACCCUGGAACUGUCUUUGCUACUGUUAGUCUUGAGAUCGGGGGAUGUGAGUGGAAUUCCCAGCGUAGAGGUGAAAUUCGUAGAUAUUAGGAAGAACACCAGUGGCGGAUGCGGCUCACUGGCCCGAUACUGACGCUGAGGUGCGAAAACGUCGGGAGCAAACAGG
rnacentral:rRNA from 1 species